rnacentral:ncRNA from 1 species
GUUUCUUUACUUUUUCAGUGAAGCGGGAACUGUCAAUUAUUUUCCAUGUUGACAUUUAACACACGUUAGUGCAUUGUUCGUACCCCAUGUGUGGCUGGCGUGCCGGCGUCUUGAUCGCAACUGUCUGGCCAGGGCAAGUGAUAUGCGUGUUUUCCCUCUACUGCCUGUAGGUUGUAGCGGCAAGGUGGCAGCCCAUAGCUGGUAGACGGUGGGCGCGUGUGUCCGGUCUUCGUGCUAUUAGGCAGGUUUAACGACGUGCGACCCGAUCUGAAGACAGUGUCAGGCGGGAGUUUGACUGGGGCGAUGAAUCUGUCAAAUCGUAACGCAGGUGUCCCAAGGUGAGCUCAGCCAGGACAGAAACCUGGCGUAGAGUAAAAGGGCAAAAGCUUACUUAAUUUUGAUUUUCAGUACGAAUACAGACCGUGAAAGCGUAGCCUAGCGAUCGUUUUGGGGUUAGGUAUGGCUGUUUGACGGUGGCUAAUAAGCCAGAAAUGGCCAUUCUGGCCUCCCUUAUCUUUGUCGGUAAUGCCUUUUUGCCUAUAAUUAUAUCCAACAUGCGGCUG